AACAUAUUUCGAAGAUGUUACAACAUUACACACCAACUCAUCAGGUUUUCUUAUUUCUACGAUCAGCCAUAAAGAAAACGUUUCCCAUUCAUUUAAUUUGGGGAACAAAACACAACCGUUCAGUUUUCCU